GGUUAAAACUCAAAUGAAUUGACGGGGGCCCGCACAAGCGGUGGAGCAUGUGGUUUAAUUCGAUGCAACGCGAAGAACCUUACCUGGUCUUGACAUCCACGGAAGUUUUCAGAGAUGAGAAUGUGCCUUCGGGAACCGUGAGACAGGUGCUGCAUGGCUGUCGUCAGCUCGUGUUGUGAAAUGUUGGGUUAAGUCCCGCAACGAGCGCAACCCUUAUCCUUUGUUGCCAGCGGUCCG
rnacentral:rRNA from 1 species